GCCUAAAACAACCCCGGCGAGGGGAGUGAAAAAGAACCUGAAACCGUGUACGUACAAGCAGUGGGAGCACCCUUUGGGUGUGACUGCGUACCUUUUGUAUAAUGGGUCAGCGACUUAUAUUCUGUAGCAAGGUUAACCGAAUAGGGGAGCCGGAGGGAAACCGAGUCUUAAUUGGGCGUUAAGUUGCAGGGUAUAGACCCGAAACCCGGUGAUCUAGCCAUGGGCAGGUUGAAGGUUGGGUAACACUAACUGGAGGACCGAACCGACUAAUGUUGAAAAAUUAGCGGAUGACCUGUGGCUGGGGGUGAAAGGCCAAUCAAACCGGGAGAUAGCUGGUUCUCCCCGAAAGCUAUUUAGGUAGCGCCUCGUGAAUUCAUCUCCGGGGGUAGAGCACUGUUUCGGCUAGGGGGCCAUCCCGGCUUACCAACCCGAUGCAAACUGCGAAUACCGGAGAAUGUUAUCACGGGAGACACACGGCGGGUGCUAACGUCCGUCGUGAAGAGGGAAACAACCCAGACCGCCAGCUAAGGUCCCAAAGUCAUGGUUAAGUGGGAAACGAUGUGGGAAGGCCCAGACAGCCAGGAUGUUGGCUUAGAAGCAGCCAUCAUUUAAAGAAAGCGUAAUAGCUCACUGGUCGAGUCGGCCUGCGCGGAAGAUGUAACGGGGCUAAACCAUGCACCGAAGCUGCGGCAGCGACACUGUGUGUUGUUGGGUAGGGGAGCGUUCUGUAAGCCUGUGAAGGUGUGUCGUGAGGCAUGCUGGAGGUAUCAGAAGUGCGAAUGCUGACAUAAGUAACGAUAAAGCGGGUGAAAAGCCCGCUCGCCGGAAGACCAAGGGUUCCUGUCCAACGUUAAUCGGGGCAGGGUGAGUCGACCCCUAAGGCGAGGCCGAAAGGCGUAGUCGAUGGGAAACGGGUUAAUAUUCCCGUACUUGGUGUUACUGCGAAGGGGGGACGGAGAAGGCUAUGUUGGCCGGGCGACGGUUGUCCCGGUUUAAGCGUGUAGGUGUGUGUUCCAGGUAAAUCCGGUUCACUUUAACACUGAGGCGUGACGACGAGGCACUACGGUGCUGAAGCAACAAAUGCCCUGCUUCCAGGAAAAGCCUCUAAGCAUCAGGUAACAUCAAAUCGUACCCCAAACCGACACAGGUGGUCAGGUAGAGAAUACCAAGGCGCUUGAGAGAACUCGGGUGAAGGAACUAGGCAAAAUGGUGCCGUAACUUCGGGAGAAGGCACGCUGACACGUAGGUGAAGUGAUUUACUCAUGGAGCUGAAGUCAGUCGAAGAUACCAGCUGGCUGCAACUGUUUAUUAAAAACACAGCACUGUGCAAACACGAAAGUGGACGUAUACGGUGUGACGCCUGCCCGGUGCCGGAAGGUUAAUUGAUGGGGUCAGCGCAAGCGAAGCUCCUGAUCGAAGCCCCGGUAAACGGCGGCCGUAACUAUAACGGUCCUAAGGUAGCGAAAUUCCUUGUCGGGUAAGUUCCGACCUGCACGAAUGGCGUAAUGAUGGCCAGGCUGUCUCCACCCGAGACUCAGUGAAAUUGAACUCGCUGUGAAGAUGCAGUGUACCCGCGGCAAGACGGAAAGACCCCGUGAACCUUUACUAUAGCUUGACACUGAACAUUGAGCCUUGAUGUGUAGGAUAGGUGGGAGGCUUUGAAGUGUGGACGCCAGUCUGCAUGGAGCCGACCUUGAAAUACCACCCUUUAAUGUUUGAUGUUCUAACGUGGACCCGUUACCCGGGUUGCGGACAGUGUCUGGUGGGUAGUUUGACUGGGGCGGUCUCCUCCUAAAGAGUAACGGAGGAGCACGAAGGUUGGCUAAUCCUGGUCGGACAUCAGGAGGUUAGUGCAAUGGCAUAAGCCAGCUUGACUGCGAGCGUGACGGCGCGAGCAGGUGCGAAAGCAGGUCAUAGUGAUCCGGUGGUUCUGAAUGGAAGGGCCAUCGCUCAACGGAUAAAAGGUACUCCGGGGAUAACAGGCUGAUACCGCCCAAGAGUUCAUAUCGACGGCGGUGUUUGGCACCUCGAUGUCGGCUCAUCACAUCCUGGGGCUGAAGUAGGUCCCAAGGGUAUGGCUGUUCGCCAUUUAAAGUGGUACGCGAGCUGGGUUUAGAACGUCGUGAGACAGUUCGGUCCCUAUCUGCCGUGGGCGCUGGAGAACUGAGGGGGGCUGCUCCUAGUACGAGAGGACCGGAGUGGACGCAUCACUGGUGUUCGGGUUGUCAUGCCAAUGGCACUGCCCGGUAGCUAAAUGCGGAAGAGAUAAGUGCUGAAAGCAUCUAAGCACGAAACUUGCCCCGAGAUGAGUUCU
rnacentral:rRNA from 1 species